CCUUGAAUCCGGCAUAGAUCUUUUCAUUAUUUUCAUACAUUCACUAAGUUCAUACACAAAACUUAAAAAUACAUGUUCACAGAAAUAAAACAGCUUGACAAUGGCCCAUUAUUCAGGCCCAUUAUACAACAUUUUCAAUCGAUUUCCCUAGCUUUCAGUUUCCGACCAAGCAAUAUUCUCCGUUACGUCUUGAAUAAAUCUUUUCAAAGCAGUUUCUGACGAUCCACCGUCCAUUAAAGCCACGUGGCACUUCUCGCUGAUCUCAUUCACUCUCUUCCUGACGUCACUGUCUUGCUCCAUCAAACAUAUGAUUCCUUUCUCAAUCUCCUCCGCCGUCACAAUCUCCGACCUCCCCAACAAAAGAUCUCCUCGCCAAUGCUUCUUGAUCUCCACAGCCAAACCAAGCUCUUCCACCAUCUCGAAAGCGUUAAACUUCUGUUCAGCGUAAAGCGGCCAAAUCGCCAUCGGAACACCAAACCACAAACUCUCCAACGUCGAAUUCCAUCCGCCGUGAGAAACAAAACCUCCGAUCGCCGGCUUCGCCAAUAUGGCCACCUGUUCAGCCCAUCCGAUAACCUUUCCUCUGUUAGCCGUCCGAUCGAAAAACCCUUCUGGGAGAAUCUCCUCUAGGUUUGUGAAUUCUCCGGGAGGCUCUCUCAAUAUAUUCGGAGAUGCACGACGGAGAGACCAAAGAAACCGGUGGCCGCUUCGAUCGAGAGCUAAUGCGGUUUCUCUCACUUGUUCCUCACUGAACCCUCCCAUGCUCCCGAAACAGAGGAACACUACAGAUCUUGGCGGUUGCUCGUCUAGCCACCGUAAAAUCUCCGAUUGCUUCUUGUCCACGUAAUCACAAUUUACGUUUUUGAGAUGCAACAAUGGUCCUACUGGGUAAGCACGUGGAAUGUUACCAUUGGAAAGAAACGUCAACGCUUGAGGUUCCAAGUCAGGAACCGUGUUUACCAAAAUGCCCUUAGUUUCUCUGAAUCUUCUCGCUUGAGUUACAAAAAAAGUGAGCCACUCUUUUGAUUUGAAAAUGUAAGGAAGACAUUUCAACGGAUAAGGACUAGUCAAACUCGGAACCACCAACUCUACGUCAGAGUCUUCUAAUUCGCUCAUGUCAUAGAUAUCCUCUGCAUCGUACAUGAACUGAAUGUGAAGCAAAAGUCCAAGAAAUCCAGCGUUAGAGGUGUAAAACAAGUAACUAGGGACGCCAAAUUCGUUAGCGACAUCGAUCAUCGACGUGCAGUACAUGUCAACAACGAAUCCCGCAAGACGAGGCGCGUCUGGUAGAGUGGAAUCUACGAGUUUAGCAACCGCGUCUCUCACCAGUGGCUUUAGACUUUGGAUGUGGGAAUCAGUUGCUUUGAGCUCCGUUGGUUGUUGAUCUCCUCCGGAGAUUAUUUCGUACCGGAGGCGGUUGUUGGAUGUAAGAGAGGUGAUCAUGGAUGUAUUUUUAGAACUAAAAGAUAUGAUGAUUACGGUGAUAGAGAGGUUGUCGUUUUUAUCAACUAGUUGCUCCGCCAUCUCUACCGUCGCCAUGAGAUGACUAAUUGCCGGAGAGGGAAUGAAUACUAGCUCUAUUUUCAUUUCUUUUAUUCUCUCUACUUGUUUUCCCA
rnacentral:lncRNA from 1 species